rnacentral:rRNA from 1 species
CUACGGGCGGCUGCAGUGGGGAAUAUUGGACAAUGGGGGAAACCCUGAUCCAGCAAUGCCGCGUGUGUGAAGAAGGCCUGCGGGUUGUAAAGCACUUUCGGUUGGGAGGACUGCUUCUAGCACUAAUAUUGUUGGAAGUUGACGUUACCUUCAGAAGAAGCACCGGCUAACGCCGUGCCAGCAGCCGCGGUAAUACGGAGGGUGCAAGCGUCAAUCGGAAUUACUGGGCGUAAAGCGCGCGUAGGCGGCUAGAUCAGUCGGGUGUGAAAGCCCCGGGCUUAACCUGGGAACUGCAUCCGAUACUGUCUAGCUUGAGUACAGGAGAGGAGAGUGGAAUUCCACAUGUAGCGGUGAAAUGCGUAGAUAUGUGGAGGAACACCAAUGGCGAAGGCAGCUCUCUGGCCUGAUACUGACGCUGAGGUGCGAAAGCGUGGGGAGCAAACAGGAUUAGAUACCCUAGUAGUC